rnacentral:rRNA from 1 species
GAGCGGCAGACGGGUGAGUAACGCGUGGGAAUCUACCGAGCCCUAAGGAAUAGCUCCGGGAAACUGGAAUUAAUACCUUAUACGCCGGGGGAAAGAUUUAUCGGGGUUUGAUGAGCCCGCGUUGGAUUAGCUAGUUGGUGGGGUAAAGGCCUACCAAGGCGACGAUCCAUAGCUGGUCUGAGAGGAUGAUCAGCCACAUUGGGACUGAGACACGGCCCAAACUCCUACGGGAGGCAGCAGUGGGGAAUAUUGGACAAUGGGCGCAAGCCUGAUCCAGCCAUGCCGCGUGAGUGAUGAAGGCCCUAGGGUUGUAAAGCUCUUUCACCGGUGAAGAUAAUGACGGUAACCGGAGAAGAAGCCCGGGCUAACUUCGUGCCAGCAGCCGCGGUAAUACGAAGGGGGCUAGCGUUGUUCGGAAUUACUGGGCGUAAAGCGCACGUAGGCGGAUAUUUAAGUCAGGGGUGAAAUCCCAGAGCUCAACUCUGGAACUGCCUUUGAUACUGGGAAGCUCGAGUCCGGAAGAGGUGAGUGGAACUCCGAGUGUAGAGGUGAAAUUCGUAGAUAUUCGGAAGAACACCAGUGGCGAAGGCGGCUCACUGGUCCGGUAC